UUGGAUUCCAAGUUGGAGAAAACAUAUAUAUUAUUUUUGUUAAUUCUAUUCUUUUCUUUUUCUAAUUGUUAACACUUCAUUUUAUUUAGAUAUCUAUGAGAAGAUCGAGAGAGAAUGAAUAUCGAAUGAAGUUCCCAGAUGAUUUAGAGGCCGGUUAACAUGAUGGUUGGAAUGGUUUUGUAAUGCUUGUAAAUCCCCGGGACGUGAAGACUCGCUGUGUAUGGUUUGUACGUUGUUUAAAGCUUAUGUUCUUCAAAGUUGAAGGGGCAAGUUGUCAUUGGUGAAGUUCGUGUGUGACCGAAUUGAAGGAGUUAUGGAGAUUGGAUUUUGGGGCUUUUGCUUCUAAUCGCCUGUAAGUUGCGCUAUCUUAUUCGGUUCAGAUAUUAGAAGAUGGUGUGAUACCUCUCACCCCAAGUGAUGUUUUCAUAGAUGCUCUAGUAUCACCAUCGGGUUUCAUCCCUAUUACCUCAGCGGCCAAGGAAAUUAUUCCUUGAGACAUUUUUGCUGAAAUUCUUGUAAAACAAUGUAGUUUUGACUAUAAAAUUCAA
rnacentral:lncRNA from 1 species